rnacentral:rRNA from 1 species
AGAGUUUGAUCCUGGCUCAGAUUGAACGCUGGCGGCAGGCCUAACACAUGCAAGUCGAGCGGUAGCACAGAGAGCUUGCUCUCGGGUGACGAGCGGCGGACGGGUGAGUAAUGUCUGGGAAACUGCCUGAUGGAGGGGGAUAACUACUGGAAACGGUAGCUAAUACCGCAUAAYGUCGCAAGACCAAAGUGGGGGACCUUCGGGCCUCAUGCCAUCAGAUGUGCCCAGAUGGGAUUAGCUAGUAGGUGGGGUAAUGGCUCACCUAGGCGACGAUCCCUAGCUGGUCUGAGAGGAUGACCAGCCACACUGGAACUGAGACACGGUCCAGACUCCUACGGGAGGCAGCAGUGGGGAAUAUUGCACAAUGGGCGCAAGCCUGAUGCAGCCAUGCCGCGUGUGUGAAGAAGGCCUUCGGGUUGUAAAGCACUUUCAGCGGGGAGGAAGGCGGUAAGGUUAAUAACCUUGUCGAUUGACGUUACCCGCAGAAGAAGCACCGGCUAACUCCGUGCCAGCAGCCGCGGUAAUACGGAGGGUGCAAGCGUUAAUCGGAAUUACUGGGCGUAAAGCGCACGCAGGCGGUCUGUCAAGUCGGAUGUGAAAUCCCCGGGCUCAACCUGGGAACUGCAUUCGAAACUGGCAGGCUAGAGUCUUGUAGAGGGGGGUAGAAUCCCAGGUGUAGCGGUGAAAUGCGUAGAGAUCUGGAGGAAUACCGGUGGCGAAGGCGGCCCCCUGGACAAAGACUGACGCUCAGGUGCGAAAGCGUGGGGAGCAAACAGGAUUAGAUACCCUGGUAGUCCACGCCGUAAACGAUGUCGAUUUGGAGGUUGUGCCCUUGAGGCGUGGCUUCCGGAGCUAACGCGUUAAAUCGACCGCCUGGGGAGUACGGCCGCAAGGUUAAAACUCAAAUGAAUUGACGGGGGCCCGCACAAGCGGUGGAGCAUGUGGUUUAAUUCGAUGCAACGCGAAGAACCUUACCUGGUCUUGACAUCCACAGAACUUACCAGAGAUGCAUUGGUGCCUUCGGGAACUGUGANACAGGUGCUGCAUGGCUGUCGUCAGCUCGUGUUGUGAAAUGUUGGGUUAAGUCCCGCAACGAGCGCAACCCUUAUCCUUUGUUGCCAGCGGUUMGGCCGGGAACUCAAAGGAGACUGCCAGUGAUAAACUGGAGGAAGGUGGGGAUGACGUCAAGUCAUCAUGGCCCUUACGACCAGGGCUACACACGUGAUACAAUGGCAUAUACAAAUAGAAGCGACCUCGCGAGAGCAAGCGGACCUCAUAAAGUAUGUCGUAGUCCGGAUUGGAGUCUGCAACUCGACUCCAUGAAGUCGGAARCGCUAGUAAUCGUAGAUCAGAAUGCUACGGUGAAUACGUUCCCGGGCCUUGUACACACCGCCCGUCACACCAUGGGAGUGGGUUGCAAAAGAAGUAGGUAGCUUAACCUUCGGGAGGGCGCUUACCACUUUGUGAUUCAUGACUGGGGUGAAGUCGUAACAAGGUACCCGGG